rnacentral:tRNA from 1 species
GGGGAUGUAGCUCAAUAGUAGAGCACUUGCUUAGUAUGUGGGAGGCCCUGGAUUCCAUCCCCA